UUCCCUCAGAUCCUACAAAAUAAAAGUCCCAAACCUACAUGCUGACUGUCUGACCACUAAAAGAAACAGGAGAACAAGGAUUUGACAGAAAAUGGCAGCUCUCCCCUAUAAAGUUAACAGUUUCUGUCUCUUCCAAAUCAGCCCAUGAGCCCAGCCUGAUGUCACCACUGUUAGACUGCAGACUGGGGCUGCUAUACUGCUCCAACUCUUCUAUCUGAUCCUCAAUCAUCAAUACAACCACUGGCACCUGGUCAGGGGCGUGUCCAACCUGAGAGGUAACCAUCCAUGACAAUCCCCUUCACGUUGUAGCAGUGUUUCCAGCUAGAGCUAGGGCCUCCAUCCACAUCAGUUUAGAGAAACCGUCCAGGUUUACUUUGAACCAAGAGGAAACUUUUUUAUUUAAAAUGGAAACUAACUGGAGCCAGGUUAGUUUACCAGCUAUUUACUGGUUGUUGUUACAAAUUCAUAUCAGAGUUUAUUUGCAGGAAACGACCAAACUUCACAAUUUGACCCCAUAGUGAAGUUAGAAUUAGAGGAAGUGCAGUUCUCCAUCAGUCCACUGGGGGAGCUGCAGCACCAUAACUGAGAGACAGUGGAGCUGAUCUCAGAUC
rnacentral:lncRNA from 1 species